CUGCUGCCUUCCGUAGGAGUUUGGGCCGUGUCUCAGUCCCAAUGUGGCCGUUCACCCUCUCAGGCCGGCUACUGAUCGUCGCCUUGGUGGGCUGUUACCCCGCCAACAAGCUAAUCAGACGCGGAUCCAUCGUAUACCACCGGAGUUUUUCACACCGUCUCAUGCGAGACUGUGCGCUUAUGCGGUAUUAGCACCUAUUUCUAAGUGUUAUCCCCCAGUAUACGGCAGGUUAUCCACGCGUUACUCACCCGUCG
rnacentral:rRNA from 1 species